UUUGAAGUCUGUUCCAGGACCUGCAGGAGACAUGGCAAAGGUCAUCGAUUCCUUCCUGUCUAAACUCACAUGUCAGCAGUGAAGAUCCUGAACGCAUCGUUCUCCGUUAACAGUUCAAUUCAAUUUUAUUCGCCUCAGGGCGCAUGAACAGUCUCCUUAGUUUUGAAAGUGUUAUUCAUAGUAGCUGCUGACGUUUGCACUGACUGGCUCUUAGUGUGGGCUGGAUGUAUUUGCAGAGCAGCUUAAGCAACUAAAGAAUUGAGCAAUGUCUACAACAGCAAUGGUGUGACAAGGCCGAUAAUUUCUCUCUUAAGUAGCAAAGUAGUAUUUUGUAAAUAAUUAUCCACUUAUUUUCACAACGCAGAUAUUGUGAUGACUGUAAGAUUUUUGUCCUUUUAACUGCUUCAUUAAUGAUUAACACUU